GUGGCGGUGGGAGAAGCAGGGAUGACGAAGUUAUGGCUUUCCCGGGGACUGUACCCAGGAUGUCCCGCCCCAAAGGACUGUGACACGGAGGGAGCUGCAGCCUUCCCGGCUUGCAGUUUUCAGGUGAAACCUGGAGAAGCACCUUUUCCUGGCUCCCACUCUGUGCUGGGCCCUAGCUGGAUGCCCGUGGUGACCCAGGGGUGGGGCCCAGCCCCCCAGGAGCUCAGCACAGAGGCCGAUCCAAGCCAGAGGCAGGAGGGGGACACCACACAGCUGCCGCCUCCAUGCUGGGCUGGAAACGAAGCCGAGCUGAUCGCAGAGAAUGCCCGAUUACAGCACAGGGACAGGAAAAGUACAAGAUGUGCCUAGAAGAUCUUGUUGUGCCAGAAAGUACGGAAGUAGCCAAAGAAUGAUGGGGACUUUUCAAAAGGAUACAGGACCCAGCUUGAAGGCACUCCCACUGGCCAAGUUAGGGACAAUGUGAGCAUGAAACUAAAUAACGAUAGAGAUUGGAUUCCGCUGAAUAAAACAGAAAACCAGAAGCAUAUACGGAUAUAAGCAAAUGAAUACAUUGAAACUUUGACGAGGAAUGAGACGUCUGCACCGUUUCAAAGUGCCUCCAUAAAAUCACAAAGGAGAAAAGAGUAACUUCGCGGUGGAGAAGGCUGGCAGACAUCACCCGCCUUCAUCCUCUUCAGUCUGGGGACCUGUCAGAACACACACCGUCCAAAGACGCAAUGAGCAAACCACAGGGUCUCGUCUGCGCUAUUCCUGCUAAAGAUGCAUCAUCACGAGGAAGUGUCGGACAAAUUCCUACUGAGGGAGAUCCAGAAAAUCACUCCCCAAAUAUCCAAGUCUUAAAAGUCAAAAGUUGAGGAAAAUUUCCAGACGGAAGGAGACGGAAGAGACACGACAGCUAAAUACAGCACGUGUGUCUGAACGGGGUCCUUCGGCUCCAAAAGACACUGCUGGGGCAACUGGCCACGUGCAGGAGGUCCGAGGGAUGAGGGCGAGCAAUGAUCACCCUGUUAACCUCCUCUUGGCUUUGCUGGUUGUACCGUAAUUACAGAGAAGUCAGUCCUUGUUUGUAGGAAACGUUACAGACUUGGGGGGUGAUGGGGAGCUAGGUCCACAAUUCACUCUCAAAAGGUUUUGCGGAAAGGAAAGUUCUCUCUCUCUCUCUCUCU